GACGAACGCUGGCGGCGUGCUUAACACAUGCAAGUCGAACGAGGUCCACUGCGCAGCAAUACAAGGGAAGACCUAGUGGCGAACGGGUGCGUAACACGUGAGGAACUUGUCCCGGUCUCUGGGAUAACAGUUGGAAACGACUGCUAAUACCGGAUGACGUCGGAAUCUCGCAUGGGAUACUGACGAAAGGGUUACUGGAUCGGGAGAGCCUCGCGGCCUAUCAGCUUGUUGGUGAGGUAACGGCUCACCAAGGCAUCGACGGGUAGCUGGUCUGAGAGGAUGAUCAGCCACACUGGGACUGAGACACGGCCCAGACUCCUACGGGAGGCAGCAGUGGGGAAUCUUGCGCAAUGGGCGAAAGCCUGACGCAGCAACGCCGCGUGCGGGAAGAAGGCCCUCGGGUUGUAAACCGCUUUCAGUAGGACGAAAAUGACGGUACCUGCAGAAGAAGGUAGCGGGCCAACUACGUAGCCAGCAGCCGCGGUAAU
rnacentral:rRNA from 1 species